rnacentral:rRNA from 1 species
UACGGAGGGUGCGAGCGUUGUCCGGAUUUAUUGGGUUUAAAGGGUGCGUAGGUGGCUUAAUAAGUCAGUGGUGAAAUACAGCCGCUCAACGGUUGAGGUGCCAUUGAUACUGCUAAGCUUGAAACAAGUGGAGGUUGCCGGAAUGGAUGGUGUAGCGGUGAAAUGCAUAGAUAUCAUCCAGAACACCGAUUGCGAAGGCAGGUGACUACGUUUGAUUUGACACUGAGGCACGAAAGCAUGGGGAGCAAACAGG